CUUCGGUGAUGAUAAGAUGACGAGUCCGAAGUGGGUGACUCUUGUUGCGGCGCCUCUGCAGGGUCACGUUCUGUGAUGCUGCGUGGGCUUCCUUGGCAGGAGCAUCCGUCGUCAUUGAGUGAUUUAGAGGCAUUUGUCUGAGAAGG
rnacentral:snoRNA from 1 species